ensembl:lncRNA
GAUGCCGCCCCUCCCAUCCCACCAGAAUACUCAAAAUGCCCAUCAGAGGCAUAAACGGAACCAGAACAUUAACAGUUUAACUUCCACUGGUUCACGUGAUGCUCUGAUGUGGAAUACUGACAACAAAAAAUCACCAGACCACAUUUACUCAUGACAGAAACGUGUCGGACUGAAUAGAUCCCCUUUGAAAUCUUAAGGUUAAAUAAAAUGUUUCUUUGUUAAUAAACUAAGGGGAAAGCCCAUCAUAAAAUGCUAUUAUACUACGAUUAAGUAACAAUUCCCUUUGUCUUCUGAUAGUAAAUAUUAUGACAAAUGAGUGUACCGAUAGUAAUGUCCCUCAGAACAAGUCCUGCUAAGUGAAUAUCCAAAAUUGAAACUAACAUUAAAAAAGCCCAUGAGUUUAAGAAAGGAAUUUUCUUAGGAGAAGAAAAACACACCUAAUGCACAAGGAAAUGCAACUCCCCAUGUCAUGUGACUGCUCUUCCCAAUCAAAACUAAUAGGCCUUUUCUGUGCCAUAUAAUAAAUACAUGUAAAGAGGUACUCAAAAUUAUAUUAAUAGAAAUUGCUUAGCAACUUAUUUCAAAUAACAGACAUACACAAGGAAACCUCAAAUCCCUCAUGAUUAAUUAAAAGAAAUAGAGUGUAUUCAUUGAAUAAAGGACUUGAAUCAAAUUAUUGUCUUGAAUCUGCCAGUUCAAGUUUCCAUGACAACUUCUUUUUGCUCAUGAAUAGCAGGUUGUAAAGUACUACAGAACUGCGAUUCAGAUGCAUUCUACAUUUGAUUUGAGUUUAUAAAGCAGGGAACCUAGGAAGAAGAAUAGGAAAUAUAUGCUCAUUAUGUGAGCUCAUUUUAUGAAGUAUGUAAGCGUGCAUUUCCAAAGACAGCAUAAAUAUGAUGGGACUAGUUCUUCCGAUUUAAAUGCCUGCCUGCUGACUAUGAUGAAAAAUAACGAAAAAAACACAACUGGGGGUUAAUUGAAGUUCAUUGUUCCAAAUCAAACCUAUGUCUGCAAAAUGUUUGAUUGCUAUAAAGGAACCUAGUCAAACUGAUUUCAAAUCUGAACAAUUUUUGUCUGAGACUGAAAUAUGUAGUGUGUAUAAUCUUGAAAAUAGUAAAGGAUCUAGAACUCCUGUUAACUACAAAGCAUCCCUAUGUGAAUGACCAGCAGCAGCAACUACAACAGGCUAUUCCAUUCUCAUUACGUGAGCUGAGCGUUACUUGAAAAGCAAAAUGUUUAUG